AACGAACGCUGGCGGCAGGCUUAACACAUGCAAGUCGAACGCCCCGCAAGGGGAGUGGCAGACGGGUGAGUAACGCGUGGGAAUCUACCUAGUUCUACGGAACAACUGAGGGAAACUUUAGCUAAUACCGUAUACGCCCUACGGGGGAAAGAUUUAUCGGAAUUAGAUGAGCCCGCGUAAGAUUAGCUAAUUGGUGAGGUAAUGGCUCACCAAGGCGACGAUCUUUAGCUGGUCUGAGAGGAUGAUCAGCCACACUGGGACUGAGACACGGCCCAGACUCCUACGGGAGGCAGCAGUGGGGAAUAUUGGACAAUGGGCGCAAGCCUGAUCCAGCCAUGCCGCGUGAGUGAUGAAGGCCUUAGGGUUGUAAAGCUCUUUCAGUGGGGAAGAUAAUGACGGUACCCACAGAAGAAGCCCCGGCUAACUUCGUGCCAGCAGCCGCCGCCG
rnacentral:rRNA from 1 species